UACGGGGGGGGCAAGCGUUGUUCGGAAUUACUGGGCGUAAAGGGCGCGUAGGCGGUCAGACCAAGUCGCGUGUGAAAUGCCAGGGCUUAACUCUGGCACGCUCGCGCGAUACUGGUCGGCUAGAGUGUGGAAGAGGAUGCUGGAAUUCCCGGUGUAGCGGUGAAAUUCGUAGAUAUUGGGAAGAACACCAGUGGCGAAGGCGGCUCACUGGCCCGUAACUGACGCUGAGGUGCGAAAGCGUGGGGAGCAAACAGG
rnacentral:rRNA from 1 species